rnacentral:hammerhead_ribozyme from 1 species
ACUCAGCUGAUGAGUCCCAAAUAGGACGAAGCCUAUGUUCCGAAU